rnacentral:rRNA from 1 species
CCUACGGGAGGCUGCAGUGGGGAAUAUUGCACAAUGGGGGAAACCCUGAUGCAGCGACGCCGCGUGAGUGAAGAAGUAAUUCGUUAUGUAAAGCUCUAUCAGCAGGGAAGAAAAUGACGGUACCUGAGUAAGAAGCCCCGGCUAACUACGUGCCAGCAGCCGCGGUAAUACGUAGGGGGCAAGCGUUAUCCGGAUUUACUGGGUGUAAAGGGAGCGUAGACGGCAGUGCAAGUCUGGAGUGAAAGGCGGGGGGUAACCCCCGGACUGCUUUGGAAACUGUACGGCUGGAGUGCAGGAGAGGUAAGGGGAAUUCCGGGGGGAGGGGGGAAAGGGGUAGAUAUUAGGAGGAACAACGAGGGCGAAGGCGGCUUAAUGGACUAUAACUGACGUUGAGGCUCGAAAGCGGGGGGAGCAAACAGGAUUAGAUACCCUAGUAGUC